GGGUCCGCACAAGCGGUGGGAGCAUGUGGUUAAUUCGAUGAUACGCGAGGAACCUUACCUGGGCUCGAAUGGUAUUGGCUGAUAGCUGAAAGGCUGUUUUCCUUCGGGACUGAUAUCAAGGUGCUGCAUGGCUGUCGUCAGCUCGUGCCGUGAGGUGUUGGUUAAGUCCCGCAACGAGCGCAACCCCUAUUCCUAGUUGCCAGCAUGUAAAGAUGGGGACUCUAGGGAGACUGCCGGCGUAAGCCGCGAGGAAGGUGGGGAGCGACGUCAAAGUCAUCAUGGGCCUUUAUGCCCAAGGGCUACACACGUGGCUACAAUGGCGCAUACAGAGGGUUGCGAAACUGUGGAAGUGGAGCUAA
rnacentral:rRNA from 1 species